UACAGGGUGCGGCAACUCCUGAUAUUUACCUUGUUGCAAGGUUUGGCUCAGAAGAAGCCCCGAGCACGGUUGUGCUCGGGUUUAAAUACUAUUCUUAACAAAAGAAUGAAAGUAAAAGUUACCUGUAAUGUGAUUUGAUAAUAAAUCUAGAAGUAACCAAUGAGAAGUUUUGUAAUAAAAUACGUUUGAAAAUAAAAGAUAACUCUCUUCCUGUUUCAUGAAAUAAACAACUCGAAUACGAAGAUAGGAAUUUACGUAGACAAAAAGAAGAGGAGGUCUACACCUCGACUGGAUCCACUAUCAUCACAGCUGCUGAAUUGCAGACAACACUUAGAUUCAGACACGAGGGUAUUUUUAUUACGAAUUCAAUGAGGAGUGAUAUCGUGUCUUCCUAUAGCAUACAUCACAGAGAACCUGCACAAGUCAUGGUAACUUCAAGAUAUCAUGCAACUGGCAAAAUGCAAUAUGCAGCGGUAACAGUUUUGGACUUAAGAUAUUGACAAUUCAAGUGCGUAAUAUGAUGUGUAAAUACUAGUAAUCAAUAUCUGUAGUAAAAAAAAUUAGAUCA